UUUGAAAUCUGGCACCUUCGGUGUCCGAGUUGUAAUUUGAAGAAGGUAACUUUGGAGUUGGCUCUUGUCUAUGUUCCUUGGAACAGGACGUCACAGAGGGUGAGAAUCCCGUGCGAUGAGAUGCCCAAUUCUAUGUAAAGUGCUUUCGAAGAGUCGAGUUGUUUGGGAAUGCAGCUCUAAGUGGGUGGUAAAUUCCAUCUAAAGCUAAAUAUUGGCGAGAGACCGAUAGCGAACAAGUACAGUGAUGGAAAGAUGAAAAGAACUUUGAAAAGAGAGUGAAAAAGUACGUGAAAUUGUUGAAAGGGAAGGGCUUGAGAUCAGACUUGGUAUUUUGCGAUCCUUUCCUUCUUGGUUGGGUUCCUCGCAGCUUACUGGGCCAGCAUCGGUUUGGAUGGUAGGAUAAUGACUAAGGAAUGUGGCUCUACUUCGGUGGAGUGUUAUAGCCUUGGUUGAUACUGCCUGUCUAGACCGAGGACUGCGUCUUUGACUAGGAUGCUGGCAUAAUGAUCUUAAGCCACCCGUCUUGAAACAACGGACCAA
rnacentral:rRNA from 1 species